rnacentral:rRNA from 1 species
UACGGAGGAUGCAAGCGUUAUCCGGAAUGAUUGGGCGUAAAGCGUCCGCAGGUGGCUGUGUAAGUCUGCUGUCGAAGAGCGAAGCUCAACUUCGUAAAGGCAGUGGAAACUACACGGCUAGAGUGCGUUCGGGGCAGAGGGAAUUCCUGGUGUAGCGGUGAAAUGCGUAGAGAUCAGGAAGAACACCGGUGGCGAAGGAGCUCUGCUAGGCCGCAACUGACACUGAGGGACGAAAGCUAGGGGAGCGAAUGGG